CAAGCUGUGCAGGAUGCAGGCAGACAGGGAGUAGAGUGGGGAUUCAGGCAGACAGGGAGUAGAGUGGGGAUGCAGGCAGACAGGGAGUAGAGUGGGGAUGCAGGCAGACAGGGAGUAGAGUGGGGAUGCAGGCAGACAGGGAGUAGAGUGGGGAUGCAGGCAGACAGGGAGUAGAGUGGGGAUGCAGGCAGACAGGGAGUAGAGUGGGGAUGCAGGCAGACAGGGAGUAGAGUGGGGAUGCAGAGCGAGGGAAGCAGUUUCAUUACUCCCCUCUAACCAUUCUCCAACCUACUCUAUUUUACUUAUUUUUUUCUCAUCAGAAUAUCUACAGCGAUGAACAAGUUGUCAUGACAUCAUGUCCUAAACCUUUUCACUCAUUAAAUCUUUAACAAUUCCCUUUUAUUCUCCCUCUGGUUUCUUCCACUUUAUUUCUCUCCUCUUGUUCUUACUUAUAGAGUAGCUAAUUUUCUACCCCCCUUCCCUUCACCCAGUUUUUUAAAAGCAGAGGGGAAUGUGUUAACAGGGGAAGCGGAUGGAGAGAGGAGGAGAAAGGUGAGGUAGAGAGAGAAUGUGGCUAAGAGCGGGGCACAGUGCCUGCUGUCUUCAUCCCUGCACCGCAAGCGGCAUUCUCCCUCUGCCAGUGAUGAGGACUCUUAAAGAGGACAAAGAAGGAAGAAAGACGGCCUGAACAAAGAAUAGUGAAAAAGCUCUCUGAGCAAUGAGGAUACCAGGAUUUUUCUGCAUUGAUUUGAGUCCCACUGCUUCUCUCAGACAUGUUCCAUUUGCCUGCUCUUUUCUUCCAUGUCAAUCCACUACUUUUCUGUGCUGGGAGAAGAUAUCAAAGUUCAUGUCAAUGUCGGCAGUUACAAUGUAACAGAUGAAACAAAAUGUACAAAAAAAACCUUCCAACCCAGAGGUUAAUAAACAAUGAAUCUUUGGGAAGAUUCAGCAGCUAUCCGCCACCUGCAAAGAUCAACUGGAGUUCCAGGGUUGAAAGGAAGGGGACUCACACAAUAGAUGCCCCCCUACAACCCUCUCUUUUAUCCUCACCAUCCAACACACAUGGGCACACUGCCAACUCGGAAUCUUAAGAACUCUCAUUCAAAGAACCCCAUUUAAGAAGGGGAUUUGUUUAAAGCCAGGACCCUUUCUCUCUCCCAGUCCUUGUAUUUUCCCCCUUUCAUAUCCCCAUGAGAAGAGCGAUUUUUUCUUGAUUAUUCUCCGACACCGCAACUGGGAUUUCUAAAAUUGCCACUCCAGCAGCGUUUUGUCAGAUUUAUGAAUUUUGUCAGUGAAGGGAUGCCAUUCUCGCUCUAGCGUGGACACAGCCAGAGGAGGAGGAAAUGGAGCCAGAAGAGCUGCACAGAAGACAUCGCACUAAUGUCCACAGAAUAUUUUCCCAAAAGUCUUUGGGAUCAUCAAGAUGUGUCACGAUCGUUGGAAGCAUACUCGGACCAACGUGCAGCGUGAUCUGGAUUCCACAUCUUUUUAUUUAAAG